CACAAGUCACUAUAUGGUUUAAAGCAGACACCUAGGCAAUGGAAUUUUAAACUAAUAGAAGCAUUACUUCAGCUGGGAUUUGUUCAAAGCCACUAUGACUAUUCUCUAUUUACCAGAAGUGAAAAUAAAAAGUUGAUAAUAAUUCUUGUUUAUGUUGAUGACCUUCUGAUAACUAGAAGCUGCAAGAAGCUGAUUGACAGGACCGGGAAUGAUCUGCAACUUAAAUUCAAAAUGAAAGACCUAGGAGAAUUGAAGUUUUUCCUUGGAAUUGAAUUCGCCAGAUCAAAAGAAGGUUAUAUUAUGAGCCAACGUAAGUAUGCCUUGGAACUUGUCUCAGAAAUGGGUCUAAGUGGUGCCAAGCCAGUCAACACUCCACUGGAUCCAAACCUCAGACUAACCUCUAUUGAAUAUGACUCACAUGUACAAGAGGCAAACACUACAUCAAGUGACAAACCUUUGGAAGAUAUUGGUAGAUAUCAAAGCCUUGUAGGGAAACUGUUGUAUCUAACUAUGACCAGGGUAGAUAUCUCCUUUGCAGUACAAGUUCUAAGUCAAUAUAUGCAUGCACCCAAAGAGUCUCAUAUGGAAGCUACACUUAGAGUAGUCAAAUACAUCAAGUCAGCUCCAGGUUUGGGUUUGUUUAUGCCCUCACAAGAUUCUAAUCAAUUGACUGUUUACUGUGACUCUGAUUGGGGUACUUGCUUACAAACGAGAAGAUCUGUGACUGGAUACUUAGUGAAGUUUGGAAAUGCUCUUGUAUCUUGGAAGGCAAAGAAGCAAGAAACAAUUGCUAAAAGUUCUGCAGAAGCUGAGUUUAGGAGUAUGGCAUCUGCAGUAGCUGAAAUUACUUGGCUCAUUGGCAUACACAGUGAACUAGGAGUAACCAUCAAACAACCAGUUGAUCUAUUCUGUGACAGCAAGGCUGCAAUUCAGAUUGCAGCCAACCCUAUUUUUCAUGAGCGAACUAAGCAUUUUGAUAUUGAUUGCUAUUUUGUUAGAGAGAAACUGCUUAAAAAAAUGAUUCAGACACAUCAUGUAUCCACAAAAGAUCAGCUGGCAGAUCUGCUCACAAAAGGUUUAUGGAAAGCUCCACACUCACAUCUUAUGUCCAAGCUGGGAAUGAAAGACAUUUUUCAGCCAUCAGCUUGAGGAUGGGUGUUAUGAAUAUGAGAAUCAAAAGUUACGCAUUGUGAUCAAUGUAACAGUAAAGUUAGUUACAAAAGUUUGUUAUAAUGUUAGUUAAAGGUAACUCUAGUUAAGUUAGACUAACUAGCUUGUACAGUUAAGAUACACUAUAAAUAGAGUAGUGUAGGCAUUAUUUGUAUUGUAUUAGAUUAUCAUUCAACACACAGAAAAGUUCUUCUUUGAUUGAAUCCUCUGCUCUGUAAUUCUUCAGAAUCCCCUAUCACCACCGAAGGUGAAAGCCUGGAUGGAUGAUAUUAAAAUAAAAAUAAAAACGAGACCUUCAGCCUUUAGAACAAAAGAGAUUAUAAUGCAACUUAAUGUCAUCUAGUCCAAAUUUUGCACUAAGAGAAAUUCACUGCCGGUAAUAUAAUAAGAUAUAUGCUUUUGCUGAGAAAUAUUGGAAACAGAUUUUGUCAGCAUAAAAUGCACUUCUUGUUGGUUGUUAGGUAAUUAGACUUGCUUUCAACUUUCAAGCAUAACGAAUAGUUUAGUUCAACAUGUAUAGUAGAAAAAACAAUAGGCAAAAAAUGGUCUAAAUUUCAAAUGAUUGGUCGACGAAUAUAGAAAAGACUUAGAAUAGCAAUUCAUCUUCUGUAGGAAACAAGUACUGGUCUAUCUAUCAAGUUGGUAAUUUCAAAAAUCAUCAAUACUUCCAACCAAAACAAAUUGAAUUAGUUAAUUGUACUCCCAAAGUAAAAGGAUAUUACACUUUUAGUCACUAAGAGGUAGUUUGACCGGAGAUAUUAGAGAAAAUAAUAUUUGUAUUAGCUUUGAUACUACAUAAUUUAUUGUUUGGUAUACCUAUAUAAUUAAUUAUAUAGAGUGAUACAUUAUAUUCAGUAUUAUUAUAUAUUCACCAUGACAUUAACAAUAUAUACUAGUACUAUUCCUAUAUAUUCUAGUACAGUAUACUCCAAUUGGAUUACAUUUUUUAGAAAUUUAUACGAUAUAUAAUAUAUAUGUGUUAGUAUUUGAUGCAACAAACCAGACAAACGAUAAAUGAAAUAUCAGCAUGAACAUUACUAACCAUAUUAAGUAGUAUUCUUAUGUGGCAUUUCAAUCCCUAAAAGAUAAUAAUUACAUAUAAGUAUAUAACCAUUUAUAAAAGGCAAGACUUCGUUACACUACGACAAAGUGAUAUUUAGUGGGAAUCGAUUUUUCUCUUAGUAUUGCCACAAAAAAAAAUUGCGACAAUAUUUUGCGAUAAUUGAGUUAAUUCAAAGAUGCUACAGUUUUUCACGAUAUUUAUAUAGAAUGCUGAUAGUAAGUAUCAAAAAUUAUUAUUAUUAUUAAAUAUAUUAUAACAAUUAGAAUCUUAUUUUAAUCAAUCAAAUUUUAGUCAUUAAUUCUUGCAUAUGCCAUGUGUCUCACAUCCAAGCAAGAACUUGGGAAAAAUGAAGAAAAGAGAAAUAGAGAGUAACCGGAUCCAUUAUAAGGCAUAUUGUCAUUUGUCCGUAUUUAUAAGUUAAAUUUUAAAAAAAUUCAAACAACUGCCAGUGGCCAUAAAUGAAAAUGAUGCAUCCAGAAAAAUACGUCUGGACCUUCUGUAGUAAGGAAUGGUCUCUUCCAAGUCCAAUAAAAAAGACUGCAAAGUCCAUCCACUACUACUGUAACAUGAGGCUAAACUGCACUCUCAAUACAUAGAAAAAUUAACCAACAAUGCAUUAUCUAUCACACAUUCAUAUCCUGGAUGAGAUAAGAUUCACCAUCUUCCGACACGUGGCACUUCUAUUCUUGUCUAUUAAAAUAAAAGACACUUAGCUCCAAUUUCUUAUCUUUCAUGUGGCCAUUAAAUUUUGUAAUAUCAACAGCCACAUAAUCCAAUGGUCACCCUUCAUCUAAGAUGAGGUUUCCUUUGUUUCUAUCCGUUAGAUUAAAAAAAACGUCUAACACCUUAUCAUUAUAUAAAGGGAGUAAGCCACAGUGUAAUAAGCAUCUUAAAAAAAAAACAAGUUUCUUUGAAGUAAAAAAAAAAAAAACGUUUUAUAGCUAAGUAGUAACGUAAUGGCUUCCUCAAUUGUCUCCUCAGCAGCCGUUGCUACCCGUAGCAAUGUUGCUCAAGCUAGCAUGGUCGCACCCUUCACCGGACUCAAAUCCGCCGCGUCUUUCCCCGUUACUAAGAAGAACAACAACGUUGACAUUACUUCCCUUGCUAGCAACGGUGGACGUGUUAGAUGCAUGCAGGUUCAAAUAAUAAUUAUCAGUAUAUAUAUAUAAAAUUUAAAUUAACUAGUUGUCGUUUAUUUAUAAAAUAAAUGUGUUAAUGUAGGUGUGGCCACCAAUUAACAUGAAGAAAUACGAGACAUUGUCAUACCUUCCUGACUUGUCCGAUGAGCAAUUGCUCAAGGAAGUUGAGUACCUUUUGAAAAAUGGAUGGGUUCCUUGCUUGGAAUUCGAGACUGAGGUCAAUAUCUCCUACAUACUUUUACAUGUGUAAUUUAAUUUGUUGAAGGAGAAAAUAAAUGUAUGUUAUAUUGUUGUGUACAGCACGGAUUUGUGUACCGUGAGCACAACAGCUCACCAGGAUACUACGAUGGUAGAUACUGGACCAUGUGGAAGUUGCCUAUGUUUGGGUGCACUGACGCAACCCAGGUGUUGGCUGAGGUUCAAGAGGCCAAGAAUGCGUACCCACAGGCCUGGAUCCGUAUUAUCGGAUUCGACAACGUUCGUCAAGUGCAGUGCAUCAGUUUCAUUGCCUACAAGCCAGAAGGAUACUAAAUUUCAUCAAACCUAUAAUUAAUUACUCCUAUCGACAUGUUUUUUGCGUUUUGUACCGGUGUAUUUUCCUCGAUUCCGACCAAGUUAUGAGAAAUUAAUAAUGAUGAAUCUUUAAUUAUAUGUUUUUUUGUGGUGUGUAUGAGUUUUAUUAUCCAAACUAAAAAUCUCUCUUUAAAUAUGAAAACGACACAUUAACUACUCCUUUUAUCCUAACAACUUUAGCACAACGAUUAAAUAGCCACCGCAUGUGACAUUAAUUAUCUUAAAUGAAAAGAAUUGUAUCACAUUGAGACAUCGAUUCAAUAAUUAGUGAGAAUGAAAAAGACUUCAUUUUCUGCCUGGAAAAAUGCCGUAACUUAAGUAAGAUUUUUUUUUUAUUUCACAAAUUAGUGAAUUCAAAUCUUACACUUUUGAUUCAUCAAUGUAAAAAGAAUAAAUUAAAAAUCCUAUUAUUUGUAUUAUUUAUGUGAGGCACAAAAUAAAUAUCUUCGUAAGAGUAACCAACCUUCUAGGCUUAUCAUGAUCAGUUGGGCCCUGGAUGUUUACACUUGUGGCCACUGGCCAUGCUCAACAAGGACCGGUCAAUUAUUGUAUUUUGUUGUUAUCCUUUUGUCUUUUUUAUUGGUUUUUUUUUUUAAAGAGUUUGAAGUUUUAUGUAUCGAAUAGUUGAUAUGUUAAUAGUUAUUAAAUACAAAUUUAUAUAUAUAUUCUAAAUUAACGUAUAAUAUACAUAAAUGGUGUAUAAUUUUUUUAUAUUUGACUAACGGCUAAAAUUCAUUUAAAUUGAGCAAGUAAAUGUAUUAUGACCCCUAAAUUUUUUUAGCUCAAACACCAAUUUAGUGAUUUUUGCUUUAAAAAAACUGAAAAUUGUAUUGUUGGUGAUCAGUAGAAAGUGUUGAAGAAGAGAAAUCAUUGUAAGUUUGAAGAAGAGAAAAUACAUAAAACUCCCCCCUAAACUUGGCAGUACAACUUACUUUAGCACUUAAACUACACAGGCUUUUAAUAUCCCCAUUAACAUCUUUGAAGUGAAUUAAAUACAACUCUAAAUACUGACUCCUCCACAGCGAUAGCACUACUGGAGCAUGACCAUUCGCAAUACACUAACAUUAUAUCUGAAUGCAGGUCACUAAUGCAGCAGGGGAAUACCAAAACCACUCCACACAUUCAGGGAGUAGAACAAGGUGGCGGACAUACUGGCUAAAAUGGGUAGGACAAUACAAUCCAACAGCGGGAGGAUGCAGAUUUUGGAAGCCCCACCACAUUAUGCCUUCAAAGCAUGGGAAGCUGACAAGAAUGGGCUUUAUUUUGAUAGAAUGGUAGUAGUAACUAGUCCCAACGAGACAACGGAGAAUCCCCCUAUUUCAAACUAUGUAAUGAACAAUGAAGUCCGUGUGCUUCACCUUUAAGCUUUUUAUAUAAUUACUCUAUUUCUAUCAAAAACAAAUAAAUACAACCCUGAGAAUAGAAUACCACUCUCACCUGUCACAUCAUAACCAUGUAAGCACCACGUCAUUAAUUUUCAAUCUUUUUUUUGCUUAUUCACCUUUUCUCUUAACCAUUUUCUUAAAAUUUAUUACACUAAUCAAUUAAUUUAAAAUACAUUUUAAAAUCAAAAUUGCCCCAUCUUCUUCCACCCCUUCUCUUCUACCCCCCCCCCCCUACUCUUUC
rnacentral:lncRNA from 1 species